rnacentral:lncRNA from 1 species
UAGUUAUCUACAAGAUCAUGUAUAGCAUAAAAGACUCUUCAUUCAUGUAUAAGGAACAUUGAUAAAGUAAAUCAGAGCAUCGCAUGACUUACUCCACAAUACCAGUUCUGCCUGUCCUAUCAACGGAUGGUGGACUAUAUAAGAAUCAACGAAGCUGUCACUAUCGCGAACUACCACACGACCCGGCCAAUAGGAUACAUUUGCAGAUAAAUAACAUCUAAGCACCACGCUCACAUGUGAUCUAUCACCUAACUCCCUCGCGUCAAGAGCUAAGCGCUUUGCAAACUUAUACAUAAACUCAUUAUCAAUUAGAACUAUAUCAAAUAUAGAACUAGAGCAAACUAAGAACAUAAUAAUUAGAGACAUAAUGCAAUUAGAACAAAGAAUUAGAGAAAGAUAUGAAUAAUACCAAUCUUUAUUACCGAAGAUCCGAAUCCAGAGCGUAGUGCUCUACUUCUCAAAUUGCUAUCUAAUCAACCUCUAAACUUGAAGGAUUAGGGAGUAGCUAAUUCUAAUUCUCUAUGGGAGAGAAGCUCUAAACCCUAACUUUGAUGACUACCACUGAAUAAUGAUUUCUCCUCCUCUCCUCCAGGGGCCAGGGGGUCUGGUUUUAUAGUCCCCUCAAGUGAACGUGAGCCAUU